UAUGGAAGUGAUGACUGAUUACCGCCCCAGUCUGAAAAUUCAUGACUGAUUGGUAUACACUCUGAUCCACA